rnacentral:lncRNA from 1 species
GCAGCAGGCAGGGAGGCAGGGAGGAGUUGUUGAGUUGCCAGGAUUGGAACUUUCAAGGACAUGGAUAUAGAGGGUGACAAGGGAGGGACUGGAACACAAGGUCAAGAUCAAUUGGGGUUGGGAGUGAAGGCCUAGAGGUAAACAGAUUGGAGGACAGUAGUAGCAUCAGGGAGCUAAGAGAGCUGAUGGGAGCCAAGAACAGUAGUCAGGGACCAGGAGGUGGUAAGUUUGCAGGGAACAAUUAGGACUGUUCAACUCUUUGUUCCCCAGGAGCUUCUGCAAGAUGAGGCUUAGGACUAGAAUGUAGGGUUUUGUAGGUGGGCUUAAUAGGAUGAUGACUUAGUCAGAGAAUUGCUGGAGUCAAGCAGAAGAUGGAUAGGUUGGGGCACUUGGAUGUUAAGCCCUGCCUAUCCAGGAUGAUGACAGGCUUCAGCUCUUAAGUCCUUCUUUCCUCUUGGCUUACCAUCAUUCCCUAUCCACGCCUCUCCAUCACCUUCAGUGAAUUCCUAUAGGGAUGCAGGACAUGAACCUCGUUCCAGUCAUGGCACUAAACACUUACCCUAUACAGUCU